GACGAACGCUGGCGGCGUGCUUAACACAUGCAAGUCGAACGGAAAGGCCCUGCUUUUGUUGGGUUCUCGAGUGGCGAACGCGUGAGUAACACGUGAGUAACCUGCCCUUGACUUUCUGAUAACUUUAGGGAAAUGGGGCGAAUACCCGGUAGGAUCUCCUGCUGCAUAGGGGUGGAUGGAAAGUGUCGGCGGUUGUGGAUGGACUCGCGGCUUAUGAGCUGGUUUGUGGGGUAGUGGCGUACCAAGGCUGUGACGGGUAGCCGGCAUGAGAGCGUGAACGGGGACAUUGGGACUGAGAUACGGACCAGACUCGUAUCGGCGGCAACAGUCGGGAGUAUUGCACAAUAGCGCCGCGUCUGAUGCAGCAGCGCCGCGUGCGUGAUACCGGCUUUCGGGUUAAGAACCGAUUUCGAAUGUAAUAUAGAGUGCGUGACGGUAAUGAGUCAAGAAGCACCGGCUAACUACGUG
rnacentral:rRNA from 1 species